rnacentral:rRNA from 1 species
GGACGAACGCUGGCGGCGUGCUUAACACAUGCAAGUCGAACGGAAAGGCUCCAGCUUGCUGGAGUACUCGAGUGGCGAACGGGUGAGUAACACGUGGGUGAUCUGCCCUGCACUUCGGGAUAAGCCUGGGAAACUGGGUCUAAUACCGGAUAGGACCGCACUUUGGUGUGUGUGGUGGAAAGGUUUUUCUGGUGUGGGAUGAGCUCGCGGCCUAUCAGUUUGUUGGUGGGGUAAUGGCCUACCAAGACGGCGACGGGUAGCCGGCCUGAGAGGGUGGACGGUCACAUUGGGACUGAGAUACGGCCCAGACUCCUACGGGAGGCAGCAGUGGGGAAUAUUGCACAAUGAGGGAAACCCUGAUGCAGCGACGCCGCGUGGGGGAUGAAGGCCUUCGGGUUGUAAACUCCUUUCGCUAGGGACGAAGCUUUUUGUGACGGUACCUGGAGAAGAAGCACCGGCUAACUACGUG